AAAUAAAACCCUCAAUGACUCAAACUAGAAAGUGUGUCUUCUAUGGUUGAAUCGGAAUGAGCUAAACUAGGAAGUGCGUCUCCUAAGGGUGAAAACUUCAGUGACUAGAACUAGGAAGUGAGUCUCCUAUGAAUAAAAUCUCGAUUAGGAAGUGCGUCUCCUACGGGUAAACUUCAAAAAACUGGACUAGGAAUUGUAUCUCCUAUGGUCGAACUUAAAAUGAAUCAAACUAGGAAGUGCAUCUCCUAGAGGUGAAAUCUCAAUUCCGGAAGUGCGUCUCCUGAAAUAAAAUAUAAUCUAAAAAGCCAAACUCAGGAGUGUGUCCCCUAAAGCAAAAGUAUAACCUGAGUGAAUCAGACUAGGAAGUGUGUCUCCUAAUGAUGAAAACUUAAUUCAAGAAGUGCGUUUCCUGUGCAUGGAAUUAAACUUAGGAAGUGCAUCUCCUAAUGGUAAAACUGAAAUUAGGAAGUGCGUCUCCUACUUGUGAAACCUUUUAGGAAGUACGUCUCUUACUUGUGAAACUUUUUAAGAAGUGCGUCUCCUACUUGUGAAACUUAGGUUAGGAAGUGCGUCUCCUAUUGGUACAAUGGACUUAGGAAGUGCGUCUCCUAUUGGUGAAACUGAACUUAGGAAGUGCGUCUCCUAUUGGUGAAACUUAGGCUAGGAAG
rnacentral:lncRNA from 1 species